GACGAACGCUGGCGGCGUGCUUAACACAUGCAAGUCGAACGGGUCUGCCCUGUUUUUUGCGGGGUGGGUCAGUGGCGAACGGGUGAGUAACACGUGAGUAACCUGCCCCUCACUUCUGGAUAACCGCUUGAAAGGGUGGCUAAUACGGGGUGUUCUGGCUGUGCCGCAUGGUGUGGCUGGGAAAGAUUCACUUUUGUGGUGUUUUGGUGGGGGAUGGGCUCGCGGCCUAUCAGCUUGUUGGUGGGGUGAUGGCCUGCCAAGGCUUUGACGGGUAGCCGGCAUGGGAGGGUGGGCGGUCCGACUGGGGCUGAGCUACGGACAAGACUCCUGCGGGAGGCAGCAGUGGGGGGUAUUGCACAAUGGGAGGACGCCUGAUGCAGCGACGUCGCGUGAGGGAUGGAGGCCUUCGGGUUGUGAACCUCUUUCGCCGGUGAAGAGGGUCCUGCUCUUUGUGGUGGGGUUGACGGUAGCCGGGUUAUGAAGCGCCGGCUAACUACGUG
rnacentral:rRNA from 1 species